rnacentral:misc_RNA from 1 species
ACAAACUUGGUCAUUUAGAGGAAGUAAAAGUCGUAACAAGGUCUCCGUUGGUGAACCAGCGGAGGGAUCAUUGCUGGAAGGCGAGCCUAGCUCGCAUCUCCAAAACCCUUUGUGAACUUAUACCUUUAAAAUCGUUGCCUCGGCGUAGGCCGCAAGCCCUCGUGCUUUGCCCUCUGGACCCUCCCGUAGGGACAGAGGAGCAGUCCGCCGGUGGCCUACCAAACUCUUGUUUGUUAGCUGUAUCUUCUGAGUUAUUAACAACAAUAAAUUAAAAACUUUCAACAACGGAUCUCUUGGUUCUGGCAUCGAUGAAGAACGCAGC